GUUCUUGCCUCAGCAGCAUACAUACUAAAAUUGGAAUAAUACGGAGAAGGAUAGCAUGACCCUUACACAAGGAUGACUUGCAAAUUGUAAGUUUCCUUGAGAGAUGGA
rnacentral:snRNA from 1 species